rnacentral:misc_RNA from 1 species
AGCAGCCGCGGUAAUUCCAGCUCCAACAGCGUAUAUUAAAGUUGUUGCAGUUAAAAAGCUCGUAGUUGAAUUUCGGGACCAAUUUGUUGGUCGUGCCUCGGUACGUACUGGUAUUAUUGGUUUCUCCCUUCUGAAGAACCUCGAUGCCAUUAAUUUGGUGUCGUGGGGAAUCAGGACUGUUACUUUGAAAAAAUUAGAGUGUUUAAAGCAAGCAUACGCUUGAAUACAUUAGCAUGGAAUAAUGAAAUAGGACGUUUGAUUCUAUUUUGUUGGUUUCUAGGAUCGACGUAAUGAUUAAUAGGGAUAGUUGGGGGCAUUAGUAUUCAAUUGUCAGAGGUGAAAUUCUUGGAUUUAUUGAAGACUAACUACUGCGAAAGCAUUUGCCAAGGAUGUUUUCAUUAAUCAAGGACGAAAGUUAGGGGAUCGAAGACGAUCAGAUACCGUCGUAGUCUUAACCAUAAACUAUGCCGACUAGGGAUCGGAUGAUGUUAAUUUUUUUCAAUGACUCAUUCGGCGCCUU